UACGAGGGGGGCGAGCGUUGUUCGGAAUUAUUGGGCGUAAAGGGUGCGUAGGCGGUUUGGUAAGUCUGAUGUGAAAUCUAUGGGCUCAACUCAUAGUCUGCAUCGGAAACUGCCGGGCUUGAGUGUGGGAGAGGUGAGUGGAAUUCCUGGUGUAGCGGUGAAAAUGCGUAGAUAUCAGGAGGAACACCUGUGGCGAAAGCGGCUCACUGGACCAUAACUGACGCUGAUGCACGAAAGCUAGGGGAGCAAACAGG
rnacentral:rRNA from 1 species